rnacentral:rRNA from 1 species
AGCGAACGCUGGCGGCAGGCCUAACACAUGCAAGUCGAACGAACCUUUCGGGGUUAGUGGCGGACGGGUGAGUAACACGUGGGAACGUGCCUUUAGGUUCGGAAUAACUCAGGGAAACUUGUGCUAAUACCGAAUGUGCCCUUCGGGGGAAAGAUUAAUCGCCUUUAGAGCGGCCCGCGUCUGAUUAGCUAGUUGGUUGAGGUAAUGGCUCACCAAGGCGACGAUCAGUAGCUGGUCUGAGAGGAUGAUCAGCCACAUUGGGACUGAGACACGGCCCAAACUCCUACGGGAGGCAGCAGUGGGGAAUCUUGCGCAAUGGGCGAAAGCCUGACGCAGCCAUGCGGCGUGAAUGAUGAAGGUCUUAGGAUUGUAAAAUUCUUUCACCGGGGACGAUAAUGACGGUACCCGGAGAAGAAGCCCCGGCUAACUUCGUG